rnacentral:rRNA from 1 species
GAUGAACGCUGGCGGCGUGCUUAACACAUGCCAGUCGAACGAGAAGUGAAGACGGAACCCUUCGGGCGGAAGGCUUUAUUUCGAGUGGCGGACGGGUGAGUAACGCGUGGGUAACCUGCCUCAUACAGGGGGAUAACAGUUGGAAACGACUGUUAAUACCGCAUAAGACCACAGCACCGCAUGGUGCGGGGGUAAAAACUCCGGUGGUAUGAGAUGGACCCGCGUUCGAUUAGCCAGUUGGCGGGGUAACGGCCCACCAAAGCGACGAUCGAUAGCCGAUCUGAGAGGAUGACCGGCCACAUUGGGACUGAGACACGGCCCAAACUCCUACGGGAGGCAGCAGUGGGGAAUAUUGCACAAUGGGGGAAACCCUGAUGCAGCGACGCCGCGUGAGUGAAGAAGUAUUUCGGUAUGUAAAGCUCUAUCAGCAGGGAAGAAAAUGACGGUACCUGAGUAAGAAGCCCCGGCUAACUACGU